rnacentral:rRNA from 1 species
GACGAACGCUGGCGGCGUGCUUAACACAUGCAAGUCGAGCGGUAAGGCCCUUUCGGGGGUACGACGAGCGGCGAACGGGUAGAGUAACACGUGGGUGGACCUCGCCCUCCAGCUCUGGGAGUAAGCCGUGGGAAACGUAGGGUCGUAAUAACUGGAUAUGACUCCACGGUGCAUGUCGUGGGGUGGGAAAGCCUUGUGCGGCUGAGGAUGGGCCCGCGGCCUAUCAGCUUGUU